rnacentral:rRNA from 1 species
GGACUACUCGGGUAUCUAAUCCUGUUUGCUCCCCACGCUUUCGCGCCUCAGCGUCAGUAAAGGACCAGGUUGCCGCCUUCGCCACCGGUGUUCUUUCCAAUAUCUACGAAUUUCACCUCUACACUGGAAAUUCCACAACCCUCUUCCCCACUCAAGCCGCCACGUAUCAAAAGCAGUCCCCAGGUUGAGCCCAGGAAUUUCACUUCUGACUGUGACAGCCGCCUACGCGCCCUUUACGCCCAGUCAUUCCGAGCAACGCUAGCCCCCUUCGUAUUACCGCGGCGGCUGGCAC